UACGAACUGAUUUAUUGGUUUAUGCUGGCUGGAUCAAAUCGGUUUUGGACCAUCACGAUCACACGAUCGGUGGUUUGAGAGUGAGUUCUCGGGAGAGAACUCACCUCGCGUUUAGUCGCUGGGGUGGCUCUUAUUUUAUAGCAACAAAUUAAUACCGUUCCACAACAUGCCGGCCCCCUUGAAACCAUACGGGUUUCGAAACAAAACAUUAUACACAUCAAAACUUAAGUGCUAACAAUUAUUUGCAAUGCUUAUCAACUAACGUUAUACAGUACAAUAUAAAUAUUUUUUACAACUCGUUAAAAUUAACAUCAAACAUUCAGUCGACAAACACUAUGUCCGUGUAUACGCUUCUUAAACAAACUGGAAUCUCAACAACCGGAUCGCAUUUGCUCUCUCUCCUCUCGAUGCUAUGCGUGGUGAGUGGCACUGAGGGAACGGAUGAGACAAACACAUGCAUUUGCUUGUUGUUUUGGCUGGCUGGUUUUCAGAUGAUUAGCAGUUCGAGAAUGUUGGACCAUACGGGAAUCAAAAUCACAAAAUUUCGUUGUAAAAACAUCACACUUUCGAAGGUGCUGUUGCUGUUGGAAUCGCUGAGUGCCCCUCGCUGGGUGGUGGAUUUAGUUUUGUCGCUGUUGUUGGAUAAUUAUGCUGGCUGGCGAACAGCAGCGAAAUCCAUAGGCCGUGUCGAAUUCGAGUAAAGGUGACGAUGAAACUUGUUGGUUGGUGGGUGUGAUGCAUGAUCGAAACCGGACGCCGAUAAUCUGCUGUAGACCGUUCAGUGCAGCAGGUUGAGCAUGUUGAGUAAGUCGAUUCUAAGCCUGUCGAUCUUCGACCAGAGGCUGAUGUUCGACCGUUCGUUUACCGUUGAACCGUGCAUCAACCUGUCGAUCUCCGACCAGAGGUUGAUACAGAGUAUGUGCUGGGCCGAUGUUUCACGCAACGUGUGGUUCACCGAAGAAUGUUGUGUCACUGUUCAUACUGAUGACUGAAGCUAGAAACCGCUGCUGUUUUCACCCACCCGAAGAGUAUUGGUGUUGCGUUGUGACCGGUGCU